CGAUCAUAUGUGCACCACCGAAGACGAUAAGAUGAGGACCGUCGUCAAGAGUCGUGCUUCUCUCCUCCUUACACUCACCAUCAUCGUCUUCCUCGUCACAGUAGCGAGAGGGGAGACGACCCCUGUGAAGGAAGCGAAAGCGGGGAUUCCAUACGGUGCCCUGCGCCCUAGCAGUCAGCCCGCGGUCCCCGGAAGACCCUAUACGAGGGGAUGCAGGAACAAUUACUACUACUGCCGUCCGCCUUCGACCCCAUGAUAGGCUACUUCGGCAGUAUGGAGGAGUAGUUCCUUUGACGACGCAAUAUAAUAUAUAUAUAUAUAAACACUUCAGUGAGGCAUCAUCAUGGUGACUGGUGUCUUAGGUGAUGCGCUUGUGGCUCAAACACUUAUGUGGUGCAUAGUGUUAUUAUAUAUGUUGAAGUACGGUGCUGAAUAUACAACAACAAUAAAACUGUGUAGUGUAUGCAAGUCACAUGUCAUACUGUAAGAUGGCAUCAAAAUCUGCUUUGGUCAUUAUUAUAUAUUUUACAAAACAAACAAACAAGGUUGUAUAGUUCUAACUAUUUAUGGUUAACUAGAUGGAUCUAUUAUCAAA